UUAAACUAGGAUUAGAUACCCUAUUAUUGAGAAUAAAGUAUUGUUAGUAAAUAACAAGUACGAAAGCAAAAAAUUAUGGCGGUGCUUUAAGCUUUUCAGAGGAAUUUGCUCUUUAAUGGAUAAAACGCCUAAACCUUACUAAAACUAGUUUUUACAUCAGUUUGUAUACCGCUAUGAAAGUAAUAAUUUAUAAAUAUUACUUUAAUUUUUUGCUUGAAAGUAAAUUAAGUCAAGGUGCAACAUAAGUUUUAGAAUGAAGUGAAUUACAUUACUUAAUAGAGAAAUAAAUUAAACUAAAUUUAGGAUUUGAAAGUAAAAAUUCAAUAGAAUGGUUUUUUGAAUUAAGUUCUGAAGUAUGUACAUAUCGCCCGUCACUCUUUA
rnacentral:rRNA from 1 species